rnacentral:rRNA from 1 species
GACGUUGAUAGGCCGGGUGUGUAAGCGCAGCGAUGCGUUGAGCUAAUCGGUACUAAUGAACCGUGAGGCUUAACCUUACAACGCCGAAGCUGUUUUGGCGGAUGAGAGAAGAUUUUCAGCCUGAUACAGAUUAAAUCAGAACGCAGAAGCGGUCUGAUGAAACAGAAUUUGCCUGGCGGCCGUAGCGCGGUGGUCCCACCUGACCCCAUGCCGAACUCAGAAGUGAAACGCCGUAGCGCCGAUGGUAGUGUGGGGUCUCCCCAUGCGAGAGUAGGGAACUGCCAGGCAUCAAAUUAUGCAAAAAGGCCAUCCUGACGGAUGGCCUUUUUGCAUUGGCGCAGAAAAAAAUGCCUGAUGCGACGCUGCGCGUCUUAUACUCCCACAUAUGCCAGAUUCAGCAACGGAUACGGCUUCCCCAACUUGCCCACUUCCAUACGUGUCCUCCUUACCAGAAAUUUAUCCUUAAGCUCCUCAAUAACCAUUUUCCUGCUAACUAAAUUCAUGGUUAAGGUUGCAUAAUGAUAUGCAACAAAUGUAUAACAUUUCCUUUACCAAAAA